rnacentral:rRNA from 1 species
AUGGAGCCGACCUUGAAAUACCACCCUUUAAUGUUUGAUGUUCUAACGUUGACCCGUAAUCCGGGUUGCGGACAGUGUCUGGUGGGUAGUUUGACUGGGGCGGUCUCCUCCUAAAGAGUAACGGAGGAGCACGAAGGUUGGCUAAUCCUGGUCGGACAUCAGGAGGUUAGUGCAAUGGCAUAAGCCAGCUUGACUGCGAGCGUGACGGCGCGAGCAGGUGCGAAAGCAGGUCAUAGUGAUCCGGUGGUUCUGAAUGGAAGGGCCAUCGCUCAACGGAUAAAAGGUACUCCGGGGAUAACAGGCUGAUACCGCCCAAGAGUUCAUAUCGACGGCGGUGUUUGGCACCUCGAUGUCGGCUCAUCACAUCCUGGGGCUGAAGUAGGUCCCAAGGGUAUGGCUGUUCGCCAUUUAAAGUGGUACGCGAGCUGGGUUUAGAACGUCGUGAGACAGUUCGGUCCCUAUCUGCCGUGGGCGCUGGAGAACUGAGGGGGGCUGCUCCUAGUAC